GGAUGUGAGGUCAAUCUGGCUGUGAAAUCUGUCACCCUGUUGAUUGCCAGGGUUGACACCGCUGCUCUGGCUGGUUAGGCAGGUGUCCCCUGCCUCCCUCAACACUCCAUGCAUGUCCCUCCUGAAGCUAUGUGCUUGGUUGAAGAGAUUGACCUUCCCUGAUAUAGGAGAACCAGUCUUCAGUCAAGGGUAUACAAGUAGCUGCCCUCCCCUGCUAGAACCUCCCAAACAAGCUCUCAAUUCUUUUAAUUAAUUAAUUAAUUAAUUAAUUAAUU
rnacentral:snRNA from 1 species